rnacentral:lncRNA from 1 species
GAGUGAACAUGUUUUGGCACCAUGUGUAGUUUUGUCUUGAAUGUACUCAACUUUUUUAGUUUCAUCAAUUUGAAAUCAAAACGUUUCAAAAGUUUUAACAUAUAUAUCUUCCCAUGCCAUAUGGGGUCAUAUAACUUACGCCAAGUACAAUUAAAUUAUUUUGGGAUUAAACCAUUGACUUAUUACUAAUUACACCGUCAUUAUCCCAUUAUUUUCUUCAACUGAAGUCUUAUCACCUGCAUA